UUCACUCGUGCCCGAACCCCACCUGACCCCUCGUACUCGCCUCUCUCCCUCUUGCGCGAACCAUAGAGCUCCCCUCCUCCCUCCCGCCGCCAUCUCCAUCGCCCGACUUCCCGCCGCCACCUCCGUCCAGCGGAGCUCGCCGCCGUCCAUGGCCUUCCCCAUGCCCUCCUGAUCUCGCCCCUCCCCUUCCCUCCCCCACACCCACAGCCGCCACCUUCUCCCUCCCUUAGAUCUCGAUUCACAGCCACCCCCAAGCCCACCCCCACCGUCGACGACCCCUCUCCCUCCCACGGAUCUCUCUCACCCCUCUCAAUCCCUCUCGAAGCUCCCGCGUCCCACCGUGCACCCUCCCCCUUCUACUCCCAAACCCUGCAGCCCGGAUCAGAUUCCUCGAAUUAUGAUCUACCAGAUCAAAGCGGAGUGGGGGCGGGUGCGAGCUCGUUGGUGCUAGGCGGCCGCACGGCGGGGUCGCUGCUAGGGGCCAUGCUCAUGGUGUUCUUCAACGUCAUCAGCGCCGACGAGGCCUACGCUACCGUAGACCAUGUCCCAGCCGCGUUGCCCAGACGGCUUCGUUCUUCCCGACGCGGCUGUCUGCCAUGCGCACUGCUGCCACCCGGUGAAGCCUGCCUCCAUCAAUGGAGACGCCAAGGCGCCUGACAGCGUCGAGAUCCACCAGCAGUGGGGAAACGUGAAUGGUAGGGUGACGACCAAGGAGGAGGACGAGUAUUGCCGCUUCAAGUUCAACUCGGCGGAGGGUGAUGACUUGUACCUGGUUUUUUUGCCGUGGCCACUGCCCUGGCUCAGGGAGCUUAAUAAAGCUUGGACAGUGGUGAGGGAUCUGAUGGUGGUGAUGUUGUUGGGCUGGUUGUGGCCUCGUAUGUGGCAGCAACGGCCUCCCUCCUGUAACCUCUAUCGAUGGCCAUGGCAUGGCGACCUCCACGGACGAGGAAAGGAGAGGAGGACAAGCAGUCCCUGACGCCAAGUACUCAGGGUCCCAACACAAGGACAAGCAGCGGCGACCACAUCUUCUUCCAUUCAGCCCAAGGACAAGCAGCAGCAGCGACCACAGCAGAUGCAGCCAUGCAGGGGAGGACGAUGACGCUAAACAGCAGUAGCAGCUCAAGGCGGUGGUGCUGAUUAGAUUUGAUCCUCAAGGACACCCAUGGGUCUUGCUGCAUGUGGUGGGUUUUGGAGAACCAACUUGAGAUGCAGGAAGUGGGUUCUUGAGCUGUGCUCUGCUCGAGCAGGAGGGGUUUGCUCCUUUUCUCCUAGGGCGACCAAGAGGUCUUGCCCUGAGCUGAAGCACGUCCAUGCCAACCCACCAUGACAGCAGGUGCCGUCCUUCCAUGGACGAGGAGGACAACGACCUGAACCUCGACGGCGAUGUUGUCAACCCCGCACAAGUGCUGAUGAGGCCAUGAUGCUUACCUUGCUGGAGCGCAUCAACCCCGACCAUGGCACCACAUUCACACUCUUGAGGUAGCCGUGCUGCAACUACAUCAACGCUAUCUUCUCGGACUAGAUAAAUCUGCGGUCUAUCCCAUUAUCUUUUUUUGUUACUUGGUCGAUGAGCCAUGAUGAUAUUGUGUUGAUUCCCUAUGUGAUGCAGAAGCUAUGGUGUUUUGUUUUGAGUCUGUUGUAAAUUGAAAUUGAUAAUGAUUUGUGUAAAAUUAAUGUAGAACAUAUAUCUUGUUAUCUCAAUUCAUUCGUGCCGUGCUCAA